rnacentral:rRNA from 1 species
AACGAACGCUGGCGGCAGGCUUAACACAUGCAAGUCGAACGCCCCGCAAGGGGAGUGGCAGACGGGUGAGUAACGCGUGGGAAUCUACCCAUCCCUACGGAAUAACGCAUGGAAACGUGUGCUAAUACCGUAUACGCCCUACGGGGGAAAGAUUUAUCGGGGAUGGAUGAGCCCGCGUUGGAUUAGCUAGUUGGUAGGGUAAAGGCCUACCAAGGCGACGAUCCAUAGCUGGUCUGAGAGGAUGAUCAGCCACAUUGGGACUGAGACACGGCCCAAACUCCUACGGGAGGCAGCAGUGGGGAAUAUUGGACAAUGGGCGCAAGCCUGAUCCAGCCAUGCCGCGUGAGUGAUGAAGGCCUUAGGGUUGUAAAGCUCUUUCACCGGAGAAGAUAAUGACGGUAUCCGGAGAAGAAGCCCCGGCUAACUUCGUG